GUAGGGGGCAAGCGUUGCUCGGAUUUACUGGGUGUAAAGGGCGUGUAGGCGGCUUUGCAAGUCGAAAGUGAAAUGCUACGGCUCAACCGUAGUUCCGCGUUCGAAACUGCGAAGCUAGAGUUUUGUGGAGGGUGAUGGAACUCCCGGUGUAGCGGUGAAAUGCGUAGAGAUCGGGAAGAACACCAAAGGCGAAGGCAGUCAUCCAUGCAAGAACUGACGCUGAGGCGCGAAAGCGUGGGGAGCAAACAGGAUUAGAUACCCUGGUAGUCCACGCCGUAAACGAUGGGCACUAGGUGUAGGAGGUAUUGACCCCUUCUGUGCCGAAGCUAACGCAUUAAGUGCCCCGCCUGGGGAGUACGGCCGCAAGGCUA
rnacentral:rRNA from 1 species